AGUGAACGCUGGCGGUAGGCCUAACACAUGCAAGUCGAACGGCAGCACAGUAAGAGCUUGCUCUUACGGGUGGCGAGUGGCGGACGGGUGAGGAAUACAUCGGAAUCUACUUUUUCGUGGGGGAUAACGUAGGGAAACUUACGCUAAUACCGCAUACGACCUACGGGUGAAAGCAGGGGAUCUUCGGACCUUGCGCGAUUGAAUGAGCCGAUGUCGGAUUAGCUAGUUGGCGGGGUAAAGGCCCACCAAGGCGACGAUCCGUAGCUGGUCUGAGAGGAUGAUCAGCCACACUGGAACUGAGACACGGUCCAGACUCCUACGGGAGGCAGCAGUGGGGAAUAUUGGACAAUGGGCGCAAGCCUGAUCCAGCCAUACCGCGUGGGUGAAGAAGGCCUUCGGGUUGAAAAGCCCUCUUGUUGGGAAAGAAAAGCAGCAGGUUAAUACCCCGCUGUUCUGACGGUACCCAAAGAAUAAGCACCGGCUAACUUCGUG
rnacentral:rRNA from 1 species